CCCUGACAGGUGCAAUCCGGCAUCUGACAUUAGCCACGACAGGAGAUACAUAUG
ncrna:unclassified sequences Mu-gpT-DE RNA